GUAUUUGCAGGUGUUACACAUCCAUACUUCUGCAGAAUUGGCCCUCAUCUGUAGAGUUUGUACAUCUACGUUUGCACAGCGGUGCGCUGCCAACAGUGUUAAAAAUAACAGAGCAAGACUGACUUUGAUGACAGGAAAGCAACGUUUUCAUUGUAAAAGUAGAUUUCUGAUUCUGCGGUGAUCAGUUUAAGAAGAGGCAUGAAGAAGAUAAGCAGGACCCGCAUUAAAUUUUGGGAGCUGGUAAAAAGAGUUUCUGUUUCUGUUUGCAGAGUUAA